rnacentral:rRNA from 1 species
CCUACGGGAGGCAGCAGUGGGGAAUAUUGGGCAAUGGAGGAAACUCUGACCCAGCAACGCCGCGUGAAUGAUGAAGGUCUUCGGUUUGUAAAGUUCUUUUCUAAGGGUAGAAGAAAGUGACGGUACUUUAGGAAUAAGCCUCGGAUAACUACGUGCCAGCAGCAGCGGUAAUACGUAGGAGGCGAGCGUUAUCCGGAUUGAAUGGGCGUAAAGGGUGCGUAGGUGGUGUGGCAAGUUAGUAGCGAAACUCACAGGCUCAACCUUGGAACUACUACUAAAACUGUUGGACUUGAGUGCAGGAGGGGCAACCGGAAUGCCUAGUGUAGCGGUGGAAUGCGUAGAUAUUAGGAGGAACACCAGUGGCGAAGGCGGGUUGAUAGACUGUAACUGACACUGAGGCACGAAAGCGUGGGGAGCAAACAGGAUUAGAUACCCUUGUAGUC